rnacentral:lncRNA from 1 species
AAUCGUAACAUGGCGUACUCGACCCGAAGGGGUCUUAUACAAGCCACAUAGUCAUUCAUUGCAUUCAAUAAUGAAAAUAGUGCGGAAUUACAACUUAUUUAAAUCCAAAACAUCAAAAUACUCAUUUAAACAUCUUUCAAAGACACAGCGGAAGACUAAGUCUCACAUGGCCAUCUUAACAAUGUACUUGAAAACUAAAGUAGGGACACGACCCAUAACAAUCGAAAACACUUGAAUUGUCUAUUACAUGAAUAAAAAAGGAAACUUCAAAAAGACACUUGUCCUCGGUCAAUGAGGACAUACCACUCUUAGCCUUGGAGAAGAUUCAAUCCAAGCUCUUCAAUCUAGAUGGAAGCAAUCACUUGCCGGAACCUACACUUGUAGUUAAAAAGGUAGAAAUAUGGGUUAGCACACAAAAUGUACUAAGUAUGAUGACCAUGCAAAACAUGCUUUAAAAGGGACAUUUUAGUUAGAAAUCAUGCAUUAUGCCACUUUUUUAGAAACAUGAUGUACAAUAGAUAUAAGGCAUACAAGACAAGUAACAACAUCAUACAAGUCAUAAUAUCACACCUUGACAAUAUCAACAUGAAAAUCUUUACCUUCACCUUAGACCUUCACUUUUAAAUGACCCUUAUGCUAUACCUUGUGCAAUGCAUGGAUGACGUCCCAUACCACCAUCCACACCAAGGCACCACAUUAAGGCCACCAAGAGUGAACUUACCAUUCCUUCUUUUUCACCUUUGCACAAUAUCCAUACAAAAGAGACAUAUCAUUUCAUAAAGCAUGACAAGGGAAAAAUAACUCAUAAUACAACCCAAAUAUAGCAUACAUAUCAUAUUAAGCAUUUAAGAGCCCACAUUCUUUACUAACUUCAUUUAGGACACAUUCAUGUCAUAGCUAUUAGGAUUUAGAGAAACUCACUAUGACCCUCUCAAAACCUACUCGUGCAAUGUAUAGGUAGCAUCCCAUACUACUACCUACACUUUGUAGAAUCUAUCAAGGAACCACAAUGAAAUCUCACAUGAUGGGAAGUAAGCAUUAACCGACAUAGACCAUGAGAGCUUGUCAUGGAAUCUGGUGUCAUAAGUCCCCACACCGUAAAUAGGUGGUCUACUUGCCUAAGGAAGACCGGUUCAUAUAGCUUAGGUGGAUCCACUAGCUAAACCUAUGCGGACACAUAGUUUAUGGGAUAAGGUAGAUGAUCAUUGAAACUCAUGCCUAACUUUGGGGGAGUUUCCAUCUAACCAAAUCCACUUGGUGCUUAGCCUACAUUCCCAUAGAAUAGUUCAUCACCUUGACAUUAUCACAUAUGAGAGGUGCCAUUGGCCUACCGACUCCAAUUCAUUCAUUAACACAUGAAAGGGUGCCUUAAGCCUACCGAUUCAAGGUACAUUUAGGAAAGCUCAUUAACUCCUCUUGAAAGGGUGCCAUUGGCCUACCGGUUCAAGGCUCACCAUUAACCCUCAUGGAAAGGUGCCAUAAGCCUACCAAAUUCCAAGGUUCAUUAUUAACAUGUGUGGAAGGGUGCCACUAGCCUACCGAUCCAAGGAUUCAACAAUCAGCAAUACACUCAUUUAUACAAGAAGAGGAUGCAUAAGCUCUAUCAAUUUGAGAUAUCCCAUAUAUUGAAGAACCCUUCAUAUUCUAUCAUCAACAUUCAUAAGUGUCACAUUGAGAAAAUAGCCUUUCAAUAAUAACACAUUUACAUUCAAAACAUGAUCACAAUAGCUUCAUUGAACUCCCAUUCUGUCACGCCCCGAGCCUACACCAUGGGCGGGGCUGGCACUCGAAGACCAUCGCUGGUCCCAAGCGAACCCUUGGCCUGACUUUCUGAACUCAGCGGAAGAAUUUCUCAACAUAAUAAGUUUAAACAAUAACUUAAAGAAAUAACAUCUUAGCCAAAAUGGCAACUUAGUCUUUAAACAACAACUGAAUGAAUAAUGUAAAGACUACUGAACUACUAACUAUCUAACCAUCCAUGAAGCCUCUAAAAUAUUGAGAUGGAUGUUGGGACAAACCCCACAACAUCCUAAUAAAUGAAAGACUGAAAAUGAAUAAAAAAAGUCCUCCGGAAUACAAGGAGGCUCACCACUGACUCUGAGCUGCUCAACUGGAUCAACGAGGCAUUGGAUGCUGAUCUUGGUUACCUGAAUCUGCAUCAUAAGACGAUGCAGGCCAACUGGCAUCAGUACAUUGAAUGUACGAGUAUGCGAGUUGGAAUGCUAAGCAACAUAGGCUAGAAGAAAAUCUGAGAGAAACUGAAUAACUUACCUGGCUCAACUCAACUCAACCUGACUGACUCAUUUCAAUAUAAAGCAAUUUAAAACAAGUGCAAUGUAAAGAAAAGCUGUUUAAAAACAUACUAUAAACUCUGUGUGUAUGCAAAAAUACUAUAAAUCUGAGAUAUAUGUAGAAAUACAAAUGAACUGAUGUAUAUAAAAAUACAAUAACUGCUGUAGGAGUUUCUCUAACCGACAAUCAUCACAUAAGAGCAAUAGUGAUGAUACAUCGAUCAACCUCACGCUGCUAGAGCAUCCUAUACCCGGCCAAAAGUAUAGGACCUGAACUGCCUAAUGGAUCCACUAGUCUAAUUUGAAAAGGAUUCAUCUAAAAAAGUAUGAACCUCUUCUACCCAUUGUGGCUACAUGGUUCUAUCGGGGCUGUGGGUUCUUUGAAUGCUUCCCCAAUUCGGUGCUCGAUACUACUCCCAAAAAUGUACUGGCUCUUAUGUUUUUAAAACAUAUUUCUUUCUGCUGAUUUGAGACUAGUGCUCAAAACUUAGCUCAAAGGCUAUCUUGGAAUUCUCAGUUUCCCCUGCUUACUUCAUUUAGAAAGCCAUUAUUCUUUUCUGAAAACUAUCCCAAAGGCAUCUUUAGAAAUCUCAGUUUCCGAUCUCGUUUAAAUGUGAAAACAUUUGUUUAAAACUUCUUUGGGAAUACAUAGUCCCCAUAUAUCUCUUUGAAGAAAAGAACUUCAAACCAUAGCUUUACUCUUUGCUUAACUUCAAAACUUAGGUCUUAAAACGACGAUAAAACAUUGUUAAAGACCCUUGGAAACUUUAAGAAACUUUGCUUUGACUUGCUUCUUAACUUCUAGACUUGACUCUUAACUUCUUUGACUUUGAACUUAACUUUUCUUGAAUUGAAUUAUGGAUUCAAGGUUCAUGAUCUCAUGUUUAGGGAUGAUUUCAUGGUGUUUAGAUGUACUUUAGAGUGUUGAAAUUGACUAGGAAACAUAGGUACACCACUUAGGAACAAGUACGAGAAGGUGGGGAACGAAUGGGGAGAACUGGCGUCCCUGGCGCUCUGAGAGGCGCGGGGCGCCAACCCUCAAACUUUAGAGGGCUGCCUGUGGCGCUCUGGCUGGCGCGAUGCACCAGAGGCCAAAGUUCAGAGGAACUUUUGUGGCGCUCUGGCAGGCGCGGCGCCCCAAACCCUUGCCCAGAAAAUCCCUGACUUUUCUCCUUCGUUUUUCAUCUCUAAACCCUCUAAACUUCAAUGGUCCUUUCCCCAAACACUUAGGAUCAUUUAUACCCUCAAUACAUGAUAGAUUUAACUCGAAAAACAACCUGGAAACACGAAUCAAAUCAACACUAGGCAUUCAACAAUCAACCCACAAGAAUUCAACAAUGUUCUUUAAGAACUUCACUUUCUUAACAUUCAAACAACGCCAAUUUCGCUGAAUUGAAACAAGUUAGUGUGUGGGUGAACUAACCCAACACGAAAGAAAUCUCACAUACCUUAAUAGGGAUCACCCCCAACGAAUUACAUUCCAAACGUUUGACGUUCUUGACGAAAUCUUGUCUUUUCUCCCUUUCUUUCUUCUUUUCUCUUUUCUCCAAGCCCUAAGCGUUUCUUCUCCUCUCCAAGCCCUAGCGUAAAUUCUAAUUUUUUUCUAAACUGAAUAAAGUCUUGUUUUACCCCAAUUAAUUCCUAAAAACGAAAUAGGAAAAUUAGGUAAGGAAAAGACUAGUUUACCCCUCACAAAUCCGGAUUUGGACUUUCCUUAAUCCAAUAGCCCAACUUCCAAAGGGGAUAACUUACUCAUACGAACUCGGAAUCGCGCAAACUCAGCGGCGUUGGAAAGAUCAUUCCAAGAGGUUUCCAACAAUAUCCAGAUCUUCUCCUAACUCAUCUUAAACUAGGAGUUAUGGCCAUUUGAAAAAGGCCAAAACUCACUUCUUAACUUAGACAAAAAUUUCCAGAUUUUCUUAUUCUUUUCAAAAAUCAAUAUUUUCAUAUUUUAAACUCUGUAUAGUCGUUUCUAGGUGCGAGAUGUUACAUAUUCAUACAUACAAUAUCAUGAUAACACUUCAACUUAUCAUACUAUGCCUUCAAGUCCAUGACCACAACGUACAUAAUAAGGAAACACCUCCACCUUUCAAGUGGAACAACAAUUCAUAAACAAUUCUACUUUAACUUGUAAUUAGGUCACAACUUGCCCUUUCAAGGCCAUGAUUACAAGUCAUCAAUACACCAACAAUUCACCAUAAUUAAGACAUAUAUAAUGAUACAAUCCAAUAACCCAAAGCAAUUAAGGCAUAUUUCAAUCAUAAGCUUUCAUAAUCAUCAAACCCACUUCAUAAAAGCACAAUUUAUGAAUUUAGAGAAAUCAUGGGUUCAUGGAGUAUUUUCACCGUAAAUAAUCAAUUAAACACAAAUACAAUCAAUAUAUGACAUUAGAAACCAUUUGAAAUCAUUUGGAAGAAGAACCCAUGAGAUUGAGUAAAACCCUUGGUUUUCAUGAAUUUGAAAAACUUUGAAAACUUCUUUGAAAUUGACUCUAGGGUGAAGGCUAACCCUAGAUGAAGGAUCACCAUACCUUUUACUAAGAUUUCCCCACGAAAUUUGAUGAAGAAAGCUUUGAAUCCAAACCCUACCUCUCCCACUUCUUCUUCUUCCUUGAGUUUGAGAGAGAAAUAUUGAGAGAGAAGAACUUUGGGGGUUUUGAUUUUGGCCUUGGAGAAAUAAGGAGUAAAUGAAGUGUUUUAAGACUUAAAACUAUUUAUAUUUAUGAUAUAAACCAUUUAAAAUCAACCCCACAUAUUAAAACAUUAAAACAAAAUUACUUAAAAACCCUUAAUUUGGGCAGCCCCGUCAGGGACCAAGGGUACUUUGACGGUCCGUGAAGGAGGACCACGGCCCGUGGUCCUCUAGGAAGUAGCUCCAUUUUGUGGCCAAGCCUCCACCAGGCCAAGUAACCUUCACGGCCACUUCUACAGGCCGUGGUCCAGACCACUGGCCGUGAAGUGGUCCGUGGAACUUGGGCAGUAGCUUGGCCAAGCUGCCUUGCUUGCCAUGCCACCAAAUGACCUUCACGGCCACUUCUACGGACCGUGGUCAAGGCCACUGACCAUGAAGUGGUCCGUGGAACUUAGGCAGUAGCUUGGCCAAGCUGCCUUGCUUGCCAUGCCACCAAAUGACCUUCACGGCCACUUCUACGGACCGUGGUCAAGGCCACUGACCAUGAAGUGGUCCGUGGUCAUGAGGAAGUGCUUGGCCAAGGUUGGGCAGCCUUGGCCUUUGGCUUAGGCCUAGCUCCCUUGGCUUGGCACCUGCCCUAGCAACCCUUAACCAACAUUAAAGACCCUUCAACUAUGGAGUCUAACACGUACCUUGAUGUUGACCCUCACGAUUAGGCCCUAGUUCAUCCUACCAUUUUAUGGGUCGUUACAAUUUGUGAGACAUUGAUCAAAUGAUGAAAUCAUCAAUUCAAGAAUAGGAAAAAAAGUAUUUUUAAAUGCUACUUGUUUUGUAGCUUAAUUAGUUGAAUCCCGAAGAACAACAUUCUUGAAUGCAACCUUUGUAUUCAAAACCUUAAAUUAAUUAGAUUCAAAGGCUUUAAGCUAAUUCAUGUCAACUGAUGGUGUAAACUAAUCUAACCACGCGAUACUAAUUUAUCGUAUCAAUUUGUUUGUUUUUGAUGAUAUAAUUCAAAUCAGAUAAAAAGAUUCGAUUUCUUAUCAAGUGUGUAUAUUAUAAAUAGAAUAAUGUUAUUAAUUGAUAAACUACCUAGAUUAAUAAUAUCUGAAGAAAAAUUAAAUGGAUUGACCAGAUAUAUUGUUAGUUGAAAUAUUAUUAGUGGACAACUAUUAUUGAACAGAGGGAGUACUUUCUUUUGAAAGAACAUUUGUGAGAUAUUGAUCAAAUGAUGAAAUCAUCAAUUCAAGAAUUGAAAAAUAACAUUUUUAAAUGCUACUUGUUUUGUAGCUUAAUUAGUUGAAUCCCGAAGAACACAUUCUUGAAUACAGCCUUUGUAUUCAAAACCUUAAAUUAAUUAGAUUCAAAGGUUUUAAGCUAAUUCAUGUCAACUGAUGGUGUAAACUAAUCUAACCACGCGAUACUAAUUUAUCGUACCAAUUUGUUUGUUUUGAUGAUAUAAUAAAUCAAAUAAAAAGAUUCGAUUUCUUAUUAAGUGUGUAUAUUAUAAAUAGAAUAAUGUUAUUAAUUGAUAAACUAGCUAGGUUAAUAAUAUAUGAAGAAAAAUUAAAUGGAUUGACUAGAUAUAUUGUUAGUUGAAAUAUUAUAAGAAAAUAUUGAUAGUAAAAGUUAAUUAUUCUCCUAAUAAUUUUGCAACUCACGAAAUUAAAAUAAUAGAUUUCAAAUAACAAAAUUCUAAUAAAAUGUUUUGGCCUCAUUAUGAGCCGCAAAGAUAGAAAAUCUUAAUUACGAAUUCACGUGAACUCAAUAGUUUAAGAAUUCAAACGGUUAGCAACUUCUUAAGAAAGAAAGUGCACACAGGCAAAAUGAUUAAAUUUAUACCUUGCUUUCGAAUUUUUUAGGGGUGUCAAAAUAAGCCCAAAAAUUUUAUAAUCGAAAUAUGUAAUAUUUAGAUCUAAUAAGUUCAUUAAUUUAUAUAUUAAGUGAAUGGACAUAGCCACAAAUAAUUCCCCUCAACGAAGGUGGUUAAGCACCUAAAUGCUCUUUAUUUUUAUAAAGAUAUUAAUUUGGUACGGUAAUAUUCACAAUUUAUUACCAAAAUAAAUAAAUAAUGAGGAUUGUAUUAAUGUCUACCUCAGAAAAGUUUUCUAAAGGGCCCAAGUGUGUUUGGUACGAAGGAAACAUUUUCUAGAAAAUGUUUAAUUUGGAAAAACUACCUAACUAGACCUACUUCAGUAUCAUAUAUACUUAUUUUACCUUUAUUUUUUAAAAAAUUACACAGAAUACCACUUUUAAUAGUUAUACCAUAUAUUUUAAAAGAUUUAAUCAGAUACACAAAUCACUUAAAUAUGAUAUUGAAUAAUUAUCUUAAAAUUUAAACUCUUUAAUUAAUGGUACAUUAGCAAUUCAAAUUAUUUUCUCUCACAUUAUCAUUCUAGUCUACCUCUCACCCCCACCCCCCACGUACUUCACAAACCUCUAUCAUCCUUCUCUUCCUUAAUCAUCUCAAUACAUGUAUACAUGUCCCAAAUUCAAAACUAAAUCUUGAUAAUCAGCAUUAUACAUAGAGAUAAAUUACUUUUUUUCUAGUUAUUCUCAUGUAUUCCGAUCAUGUAUUUGAGAUAAAGUUCAUAUUAUUGCAAGGUUUAAUUUUAUAUACUUUUACAAGUUUUACAAUUCCGUUCGGAGAUUACUCAGCAUUAUACAAAGAGAUAAAUUACUUUUUUUCUAGUUAUUCUCAUGUAUUUCGAUCAUGUAUUUGAGAUAAAGUUCAUAUUAUUGCAAGGUUUAAUUUUAUAAACUUUUACAAGUUUUACAAUUCCGUUCGGAAGAUUACUUAAAACAGAUCAUGCUAAAAAUGAAAGGCACAAGAAAUAUAUGAUCUUUUAUUUUAUUUUAUUAGACGGCAUUACCACUAAGUUUGUUUAUUUACUCGUCUAAUUCAUGCUAAACUUGAGAAGUUCAAAAAGGAAUUUCAAUCCAGAAAUAGGAUCUAUAAACUCAAUUAACUUUGAGGAAAAUCAGUCUAAUUAUGAGCCGAAACUAUAAGAUACAAAGGAAGAAAUUGAUGAAGAAGAUGAAGUUUACAAUUAUAGAAUUAUUAUGGUUUAUGAUUUCGUUAUUUUAUGAAAACUUAUUAGAGUUGAUACGUAAGUAUCCUGUAAAACUUGUCAGAGUUGAUACACAAGGAUCAUGUAAAAUCCGUUUGGAUUGUUAAUUAUUCAUCAAUUAAUCCUUUAAUUAAGGAAAUAAGUUACACCCGUUUAAUUCAAAAUAAUAAAUUGUGUAUAUCGACUUUUAAAAUCGACGGAUACAUGUAUCUCGCGAGUAACGAUACAUGUAUCUCAAGGCCGAAAUAUUUGAAACUUCAAAAUACAAAGAAAUGAAUGAUGAAGAAGAUGAAGUUAACAAAUACCUACUAUGGUUUAUGAUUUCGUUAUUUUAGGAAAACUUAUUAGAGUUGAUAUGAAAGGAUCCUAUAAUUCCUUUUGGGUUGUUAAUUAUUCAUCAAUUAAUUAUUUAAUUUUGGAAGUAAGUUACACCCAUUUAAUUCAAAAUAAUAAAUCGUGUAUUUCGACUUUUAAAAUCGACGGAUAUAUGUAUCUCGCGAGUAAUAAUACAUAUAUCUCAAGGCCGAAAUAUUUGAAACUUUAAGAUACAAAUGAAGGAAUUUAUGAAGAAUAUGCAGUUUACAUAUACAAAAAUUACUAUGGUUUAUGAUUUCGUUAUUUUAGAAUGUAACGACCUGUUUCCGUCGUUAUAGAAAAGCCAAUGGGGAAAAAUUUGGGGCUUGAAAACUUUUUCGUAAUAUUUGGAUUUUCUCAACCUAGUCCAGCUUUGGACGAAAUCGGAGUCUUUGAGGUGUAGGGAAAUCUGGUAACAAUCAUGUGAAUCAUUUUUUAUUUUGAUUGCAUGAGUAGUUAGAUAACUCAUUAAAGAAUCUGUACGACUUUAUGGAAUUGAAUUCGGGUGAGUAGAACUCCCGGAAUCGAUCUUGGCGUAAAGGGCAUUUUCUGAGAGUCAUUGGUUAGAGGUGUGUUGUUAAAUGAGAAUUUUGAAAUUCUUGAAUUAGCUCUCUGUCUCGCGUGACCCGCAUUGUCGCCGCUUUUUUACCGCUUUGGUGGGGCCGCUACAGCGGGGUGACGGCCGCUGUGGCGGGCUCGACGCGAAUUAAAGUCGUUAAUAAAUCCCUAAACGACCUCAUUAUGCACUUUUCGAUUUUUAGAGCUAAGGAACGAACCCCAGGCGACUCCUACUCGUUUUUCACCAUUCUUGAGGCUAAAUGUAAGCUUUUCACUUUCCGAAUCCAUUUUUCGAUUCGUAAAACGUAUUAAAAUGGGUGAAUAUUGAUGGGAGAGGAUUUUUUAUAGAUUCUAUGGUGGAAACAACCCUAAUUUGGAUAAUUGGGAUCAUGGGUUUGAUCUAGGGUUCAUAGAAUUGUUCGUAAUUCGAGUAAUUAGUGAUUGUUUAUUGAUUCCCGUGUUUAUGAUCGUUUGUAGACCAAGAACAAGCGGAACGAAUCCGAAAAGGGAAGGAUCAAGUUUCUUAGGUUUUCAAGCUUGUUUCGAGGUAAGUGAUGGUUGUGAUUCUAUGAUUGUGUGAUGCAUGCUUGUUCUUGCUUCAUUAUGACACUUGUAUAUGUAUGAAUGUUGCAAUGUUGAUCACACUUGUUGUAAAUGAGUUAGAGGAAUAAUGAAUGCCAUUAAAUCAUGACUUAAAUGUAUGAUCUUGAUGAAAUACUUGUGAUUGUGGUGUGUGAAUGAGAUCGGUUGCCACAUUCAGCCAUAACUAACUUGGAUCGGUUGCCACGUUCCGGCAUAAAAAUGNNNNNNNNNNNNNNNNNNNNNNNNNNNNNNNNNNNNNNNNNNNNNNNNNNNNNNNNNNNNNNNNNNNNNNNNNNNNNNNNNNNNNNUCGACAUAAUUAUGGGAUCGAAUACCACGAACCGGUAUACUAACUGUUUGGGUUCCAUGAGAGGACCAUUGAAUUGAGUUCCGUGAGAGGACUAUUGGAUUGUAUUGUGUAUCUUCUUGUGAUGAGUUCGUUCAUAUCUAAUGAUGAUUCAUAUUUGAAGACGGUAUGUUGCUCUAAAUUGAUAUAACUGUGAUAUGUGAGAAUCGAGAAGUUGUUCAUUGUUCGUAUAUGUUGAUGAUAUUGUAUAUGUUCGAUAUGUGCAUGUGAUUAUAUUGUUGUAUUGACUAAUGUAUGUUACACUUAAUGGGAUAGCCGCGUGAUCCUAGCAGUACACUGUGGUUGUGGUUUUGUACUGAUACUGCACUUGCUCUUUCUUUGUUGAGUACAUGGCAUCUUCAGGUGGCGUAUUGAUAGACCUCAGCUAGGUGACUAUUGUAGCGUGACCGGAUUCAAGGGUGAGCUAGUUCUUUCAGGCUGCCAUGGAUCUCUUUAAGUCCUAUUCUUUUCGGACUCAAACUUAUUGGUUUAAGUUGUUGUUUAGUUUUGGGGUUGUACCCCUUGUUCUUAGACUUGUCAUUAGUAGAGUUUUGGUACAUUGACUUUCAGGUUCUAGGGGUUGAAUUUCCGCAUUAUUAGUUAUUAUUGUUAGACUUUUGUUAGAGUUUAUAGGAACUCUAUUUUCAUUUUCUUAGUGUUGACUUAAAUGCCUUAGUUUUUGGUUUAGUUGCUUGGUUAGGGUUGUAGUACUGGUUCUCCUAUCGGACGGUUAGUGUGUGUUCCAAUCACGACGGUCUGGGCCGUGACAAAGUUGAUAUCAGAGCCUAGGUUCGUUGAUCUCAUUGUACCAAAACGAGUCUAGUAAAGUCUUGCGGAAUGAUACGAAAAUGUCCAUACUUUUCUUCGAGAGGUUAUAGGACUUUAGGAAAAACUCACUUCUUUCUACUCCUUCGCGCUAUGACUUUAAUCCAAUUGGUAUCUGGGUGAUACAAAUUGGUAUCUUUCCACCUUCACUCUAUGGUCCGAACUAGAGCAACAAAAGUGGUUACUAUCAGUUAAAGAUUAAGGCGGUUAAGAAUUGGGUUCGACCAAGCUCUAUGAUUGAAAUUAAUAGUUUUGUGGGGCUCGCUAGCUACUAUUGUCGCUUGUGGUAUGAGUUGAGUCCAAUUGGUAUCUCCCGAUUCCAAUUGGUAUCUCAACGAAGUGAACUAGACGUCGUGGUCACGAUUGAGGGGCCACAAGCAAAGAAAAUUAGAAACUGAGAAGGUUCCAAUUGGUAUCUGGCCCUAGGGGUGGUGAGAAUGCAUGGAUGAUUAGGAAUGGUCAUCCAUAGAGCAAAAUACUUAAUUAAGAAUUUGGACUUAUCUGUAAAUUGUAUCUUGGAAACUUUGAAUGCGUGCUUCGGGUUGUUUGAAUUAACUACGAAUGUGAAGUUGUAAUUGCUUGAAUGGGAUGAUGUGAUUAGGUGCACAAUAAAGGGUGUCUGAACUUUGAUAUGUACAAUAUGUUGGCCUGGUCGUUGAAGUUAUGCAAGUUGUAAAUACUUGAGUAUCAUGAAACUCGUUGUGAAAGGAAGAUCUUGACUAAGGAUCGUGUGAGUGUCUAGGUGUAUCCUGGGGAUGUGUGGGUUGUGGUGCUGAAUUAACAGGAAUGAAUUGGUUCGUGUAUCGUGGGAUUGACUGGGGGUAGACAACGAUUAUCCUAGUUAUGAGGAUUAUUCUAAAAUUGCUAAGUAAAGCUGAAAACCUUUGUGGAGUUUAGGAAAGAAAAGAAACUCAGAAAAAAUCGUUGGCAGGGAUUUUGUUUCCGUUAUGGUUGCUGGGGCGGAAUUUUCCCGCCAAGGCGAGACCGCCAGUGUGGGAUUUCUCCCGCCAGAGCGGGACAGGGAGAGACAGAAUCUCAGCCCAGUCUCCCCUAUUUUCCUAGUCACAAUUUCAGAACUCGAAUUGUACCCGAACUAACCCCCGCAAGCUAGUUCAGUGUUCAACAAUUGAAUAUAAGUUAUAAGGUGGGUUAAAAUUGUGGAGAACCUGGGAAUAUGAGGAGGAAAUCAGUGAGGCCGGGGAAAUGGUAAUGUAGGUAGAGGAGUAGUGCAGCCAGGCAAUGAGGUUGCCCGUCAAGAGGACAAGGCUUAAUUUUAUGUUUUUCCGGGUAAGACCGAGUUUGAGGGUGUGAUGCAGUGGUCACAAGAGCUACUAUUGUCUGUGCCCGAAUGGCUAUUAUUUUGUUUGAUCCGGGUUCUACUUAUUCGUAUGUGUCAGUUCAAUUGCCUUGAGAUUUGAUGUGGUUUGUGAUAUACUUGAUGCCCCCAUCCAUGUUUCUACCCUGUUGAAGAGUCAGUCAUAGUCACCCAUGUAUAUCAUAUUGUCAUGUUGUUUUUAUGGAUUUUCAAAGUUGAGUUGAUUUGGUUAUGCUGGAUAUGACUGACUUGAUAUAAUCUUAAACAUGACUUGGUUGUCCCCCUAUUAUACCGGGCUUAGUUGUAAUACUAAUUCGGUAACUCUAAAGAUCCUGGAUAGGGAAAGGUUAGAGUGGGAAGGGGAUACAAGUCUAAGUCAGCUAAGGUCAUAUCUUUCGUGCGGGGUAGGAAACUGGUGGGGCAGGAUUGUUUGACGUAAUUGGCUCAUAUUCGGGAUGUUGAGGUCGAAUCCCUCUCUAUCGAGUCUAUUCAUGUGGUGUCAGAAUUGAGAGAGCUUAAAGCUCAAAUCCAAGGGUUUCUUGAUAAUGAUUUCAUCCGUCCUAGUGUUUUCUCGUGGGGUGCUCAUGUCUUGUUUGUUAUGAAGAAGGAGGGUAGUAUGAGGACUAGUGAUUUUAUCUUAAGCCAUAAAAGAGUGGAUUGAUACCGGAAUGACAAGCUUAUGGAUAAAGAAACUUCCGUUGAGUAUACCUGAGUUUUAGGUGUCAUGUUGAUGAAAAGGUUGACUUCAUAGUGAUAGUCAAGGCUAACUGAGCGUAAUUGUAAUAAGAGUUCGCGAUGUAUUGUGAUGGGAUGAAAUUAUAUAACGAGAUUGUUGAUUAAGCGAAUUUUGUAUAGUAAUUACGACUUGCGAGCACCUAAGGUUGUGGUUUCCUAAUAUUGGGUGAGUAACGUGGUUGUAUGGAAAGUUUUAAGAGAUGGUGGGACACCACUUGAAUAGAAUUUAAAAGAGCUAGGGUCAUGAUGAAAAAAAUAGUGGGAUGUAGUACAACCUUUAGAGAGAGGCGAGAGAAAGAGUCUUUUAUUGGAUUCUUAAGGCUAAAGAGGUAUCUUCAGAGGGGUAGAUAAUUGGGUUCAGAGACGCAUGAUUUCAUUGUUUUGCUGUGGCUAUGGUAAUAGUGUCAUGGGUCCAUCAGAUGGGUUAAAAACUAUUGAAAAAAGACUUGAGAAAGGAUUGUGCAGACAUUAGCUUGAGCGUGAUGAUAAGUGCUUUGUUUUUGUUUUUGAGUUUAGCAAUGAGUACGAUUGAAUUGUUGGUGAAAGAUGUUGUAAGAUCGAUGGAGAUGCAAUCGAUGAUAAGCGGAAAUCCGUGAUUUCAUAAAAAUCUUCAAGGUACAAGCUAAUGUUGAUAGAGAAAGAGAUUGUGUUAUAUGGUGGAAAUUAUAAUUAAGAUUUUUCAUUGUGAGUCUACCUUCGUGGUGAUGUAUUUUGUCAAGGUAUGAAUUGGCAAGGUGAGAAAUGAUCAAUUGUAUCCAGUAUUGAGCAUGUGAAAGGACUUGCACUUGGGAUGAGUCGUAAGUUUACUACUAUAGAUUGUUAAGUACAUAAGAAAGGUUUCAUUUUUUUUAAAGUGUUGGUUUAUAAUACGGUAAAAGGUUGUAGUGUUUAUGAUUGUUGUUAGUGUUAUGAGUAUGAUUCACUAGAUAUGCUCUAGUGUGUUUUCACUUUUGUGGGUGGAUCCCUAGUGAUGGAUCAGGGGUACUAAAUCUUGCGAUGUUCUCUUGGUUGAGUGGGAAGUUUGGGAAGAUUUGAUUAUUUCGAAUGACAUAAUUGGUGUUGUCUUCGAGUUGUUAAAGUAUUUUAGUGGUUCUACAUGUACCACCUUGCUUAUGAGAAUUUAUAGAAGAGCUACCAUGAGAGGGCCAUUGAAUUGGGUUCCGUGAGAGGACCAUUGGAUUGUGUUGUGUAUCUACUUGUGAUGAGUUCGUUCAUAUCUAAUGAUGAUUGAUAUUGGAAGAUGGUAUGUUGCUCUAAAUUGAUAUAACUGUGAUAUGUGAGAAUCGUGAAGUUGUUCAUUGUUCGUAUAUGUUGAUGAUAUUGUAUAUGUUCGAUAUGUGCAUGUGAUUAUAUUGUUGUAUUGACUAAUGUAUGUUACACUUAAUGGGAUAGUCGCGUGAUCCUACCAGUACACUGUGGUUGUGUACUGAUAUUGCACUUGCUUUUUAUUUGUUGAGUACACAUGUCAUCUUCUGGUGGCUAUUGAUAGACCUCAGCUAGGUGACUAUUGAGCGUGACCGGAUUCAAGGGUGAGUCAGUUCUUUUAGUCUCCCAUGGAUCUCUCUUGUUUAAGUCCAUUCUUUUCGGACUCAGACUAUUGGUUUAAGUUGUUGUUUAGUUUUGGGGUUGUACCCUUUGUUCUUAGACUUGUCGUUAGUAGAGUUUUGGUACAUUGACUUUUAGGUUCUAGUGGUUGAAUUUCCGCAUUGUUAGUUAUUAUUGUUAGACUUUUGUUAGAGUUUACGUGUACUCUAUUUUUAUUUCCUUAGUGUUGACUUAAAUGCCUUAGUUUUUAGUUUAGUUGCUAGGUUAGGGUUGUAGUAGUGGUUCUCGCACUGAAAGGUUAGUGUGGGUGCCAAUCACGACGGUCUGGUCGUCACAUAGAAAAACUUAUUAGAGUUGAUGCACAAGGAUCCUGUAUGAUUUCGUUAUCUUAGGAAAACUUAUUAAAGUUGAUAUACAAGGAUCUUGUAUGAUUUCGUUAUCUUAGAAAAACUUAUUAGAGUUGAUACACAAGGAUCCUGUAAAAUCCAUUUAGGUUGUUAAUUAUUCAUCAAUUAAUCCUUUAAUUAAGAAAAUAAGUUACACUCCUUUAAUUCAAAGUAAUAAAUCGUAUAUCUCGACUUUUAAAAUUGAUGCAUGUAUCUCGCGAGUAAUGAUACAUGUAUCUCAAGGCCAUAAUAUGAUCUUGAAAGUAAUAUUACAAAUUAUCGUGAAUCCUAGUAACUAGAAUCUAAAGUAGUGGGAUUUAUGUAGUUUUUGCCUUUUAAUUUUUUCAUGUUUAGUCGGUCAAUAUUUUUGAAAAAUACGUUCUCUAAGAAAACAAGCUUCUUGAAAAUCAAUCCCUUAAUCAAAGCAGAGAUAACAAGUUACAUAGGUGACAUUGCAAAUUUAUUAUCUUCUUUCCAACACCCCAACCACCUUAACUUGACCAUCCCAACUCCCACCACCCCCAAACCACCACUCCCCACCCUGUCCACUCACAUAGUAUUUUGUAUAUGUUGGAUUACUUUAUUAUUGGCUUGAACAAAAAUGGAAUAAAAUGAUUUGGGCUAAAAUUUAGAAAUAAAUAUAUAGAGGAAAAGUCUCAAAAUAGAACUUCGAUUUGCUUUCUCGUAUUUGUUGGACAUAGAUGAAACAGAUGGAACCAAAACCCCACUUCAAUGAUACAUAAACCCAAAAAAAAGUAUCACCACUCGAACGAGAAACUAUUCUGUCAUUUAAAUCUAAUCUCAAUUUCACUGUUGUUACACCUUGGCCCACCAUAGAUGUUAAAUAUAAGUUACUAUAUGUAGGUGGUUGUAUGCUUUAUCAGAACCAAUAUUACUGAUUCAGUUAAAAUAACUCUUUCUGUCAUGAUGAUAAUUGAGAUUCUGAACUUCUAUUCACUCUAAUCUUUCAUUUGUAUUUCUUGAACUUCUAUUAUAGUCAUUUUCAGACCAAAUUUUGUUUCUUAUUUAUUAAACUUACAAUGUUGAAAUUACUAUCUGUUUCUAUAAGUUUAUAAUUGUUAAUUUGCUCAUUUACAAGAGAUAGUUUCUAUCUACACAAUCCAAUAGAAUUUAUAAUGAGCUAGCACUUCUUCAAGUAUAUUAACUUCUUUUUCUAGUGGACUUUUUCUUAGUGAUUUUUGAUACUAUUAGAGUAAUGAGUUAUUGUCAAGAGGUGUAGAAAAUUCGAUAUGUUUGGGGUUGUGUUAUAUGUAUCAAGAAAGGUGGACGGUGAAUGCAACAGAUUGGAAGGUAUUAAAUUUUUAUUUUUCUUGAAAAAAUAUACUUGAUAGUAGUGAAGUAGUUUUAUGUUUUAUUUAUUUCUUGGAGAAUGACAAGAAUCACUUCCAAAUAUUUGUUGUUAUCAUAGUAUAAGUCUUUUUAAGAUGUAACUGUAUUCUCACUAUGCCUUUCUAUCCUUCCUAGAAAGCAAUGAAAGCUAUUUCAUUAGAAAGGAUAGAAGAUUUGACCUUGAACAACAAAAAACAAAAAUACAAAAGGCAUAGUGGGAGUAUAAUUAAAUCUUAAAGCACUUAUACUAUGGUAACAACAAAUAUUUAAAAGUAAUACUUGCCAUGCUCUAAGAAAGAAAUAAAACUUAAAAAUUAAAACUAUUUCACUACUAACAUGUUUUUCUUAUGCAACCUUAGGUAGAACACUGGAGUUGAAAAUAAAGAAAUAAUAUUCUCAACAAGCACCUAAUAGGUAAAUUCGGCAGUCGAUAACAUCACUUUCCAUCUUAAUUAAUUUUUGGUUUAUCCAAUUACAUUUCAACUCUCUCAAGUUACAAGUGUUUAAUAGUCAUCAAAACCCGCAAAGUUUACAUAACUUCACCAUAAUGAAGAAUUGCAAUUAUACAAAAUCAUACCCCGAGGAAUCGAUAGAAAGCAUAAAACGAUACGAUAAUAAACGAAAUAUGAAAGUAAAUAUCGAAAUGUACUAAAGAAUAACACUUGGAAUGUUCUAGAAGGGCCUUUUAACAUAGAUUUGGGGGAAUAUUCAAGAAGGGACUUUUCACGUAGAUUAGGGUUACGGAGAUCAAGUACAAGUUGUUCAACAAAUUGUAUUUUGCAAUCCUUAUUGGUUGGUGCUCCGGCACCGAAAGACGAAGGCGACAUACUUCCUACUGCUCUCUCAAAAUGUCGACAUUGUUUGAGAGUGUUUGAGAGAGACUGAGUUAAGUUUGUCAUUCUAAUGCCUCAAUCAAAUGCUUUUAUCAUUUUGUUCCUUUCUAUUUCCUUAGUUUAUUUCCUCUCCUAUUUAUUCUAUUCCCUAAUUGAAUAAAGACAAAUCACCAUUUAAUUUAAAAUUGCGGCACCAUUAAUGAAUAAAAAAGGUGUCUUUCAUGUACUUAUAAAUUUCAGUAAUGAUCUUCAUUGAUUAUGGUGUGGUCUUAAAUCAAAUGGCGAGUUGUCUUUAUUCAAUUUCGGAAUAGAAGAAAGAGGAGAGAAAAUAAAUUUGGAAAAGCGAAAGAAAGAAAAUGAUAAAAGCAUUUGAUUGAGGUUUUAAAAUGAAAAACUUACCUUAGUCUCUCUCAAUCGGUGUUGACACUUUCGGAGUAGUAGGAGCUAUAUUGUCGUCAUCUUCUGAUGUCGGAGCACCGUUCGGGGGUAAUAGAACCUUAGUAUAGUACAAGUGUGUCUCGGAGAUUUCGGGCAUAUGUUGGGGUACUUAUGCAUUUUCCCUUUAUAACUAAUGUAUAGUAAAUGAACUGUGAAUGCCAUCUUACUUCUAACAUCCCACUUCUUGUUAAAUAGUGACACACACGUGUUUACAAAGACAAUAUUCUUUCUUUGCAACUGCUAUGUGUUGAUGAAUCCUAGCGGACUCAUUAGUUCUUGGUUUUCAUUCCAAUGUUCUACCUAAGGUUGCAUAACUGAUUAACUAAAACAACAUCAGUAUUCUACUUGAUAAAACUGGACUAAUGAAACUUUUUAACUCUAGCAUCUCUGAUCCCUCGGGAAUCAUAACUAUAAUUUCUUCAUAUUGAGCAAUGGUUCAAUAUGAUGUCGUUUUUCACUGUAACAAUACAACUUACCUAGUUUAGCUACAUUUAGCAAAAUGACUUUGCACUAACAUGGGUAGGAAUGUAACAUUCUCAUGUAUAUGUGAUAAAGAUCAUAGUUUAGCUAUAUUUAUUCUAUGCCUGCGAACAAUAUUAAAACAUAUAAGAAUACAUGAAAGAAUUACAAGAGACAAAGACAACAAAAAUAUUUGUUAAAAAGACUGCGAAAAGUAUUACGUUCCUUUCAAUCUCAUUUAAUAGGAAUUUUGAUUUAAGUUUUCUUCUUACGACCAGAAGGUCCCUUUUUAGCGAGUCAAUUUUGUAGGUUUCUUCCUUAUGUGCCAGAUGUUGGUAUCAUCACUGUAACAGGCCUAAAUAAAAUCGAACUCUCUAAUAGACUCUUUCUACAUAUUCUUCUAUUGUCAUACUACUAUUCUUAAUUUACCCAUUAAAAAAUCAAGCUCUUCAAUAAUUUUAAGAAAAAAAGAACACAAACCAAAAUCAUCAGCAAGAACAAAUAUAAUGAAAUGAAAAUGACAAAAUGAACUCAUAUAUCAACCCAACUAAAGGACUCUCUCCGUACAAGAUUUAGAAUUGCCUUAACAUGGUAUGGUAAUAAAGUAAUAAAUUAAUAUUUUAGGUAUCAUCAUCUCAGUACUACCCCCUUAUUUGAUUUCAAUGGUGCGUUAGCAGAUUGAUUUACAUAUCCACACAUAAGACUAAAAAAUAAAAGAAAAUAUUGAUUUUAGAAAUUUAAGUCAGUCCACUUUAACAUCAAAAACCCAAAAUCGAGUUUCACAAAGAAAGGGAAAAAAUCAACUAUUUUCUUUGACCCCUUUGGUCACUGCAAUUCGCAAACCCAAUCAAAUAUCAAAACUUUGACAAUCAUCCACAAUGUAUAAACCUUAAUCAAAAGCUUUAAGUACCUCAAACAAUAAAUGCAAAUUAGAUAUCGUUUCAAACCCAAAAGGGUAAAAGAAAAUUGAAUGCAAAUCAUAACAAUUAAUCAACAUACACCUGGAAAUACUUCUAAAAAUACCUGUAGACAUGCAGUGAUAGUAUCACAUGAGUGCCACAAUAAGGGGGUCAAAUCCUGGAAAAGUUCCCUCUUCUGGAAAAAGAAAACAAAGGUAAUAAGUAAUGAUAGUCAACCCUUAUUGACUUUGUUUUCCUUUUUUCCAGAAGAGGGAACUUUUCCAGGAAUUGGCUCCCUUAUUAUGUCACUAUCACUGCAUUAAUACAAAUAUUUUAAGAAGUGUUUCAGUAUUAUUCAAGAGAUUAUUCGUCUCGCAGAUGCACAUGAUUGCUAAGGUAUCACUCCACACUGCAAUUUCAGUAUUUCUUAUGUCUGUUCAAACACACAUUUCUACAAGAAUUACUGAUUACCCUACCUUCACACUGCACCAUUAAAAGCUAGGAAUAUAAGGAAGCAUUUCUACCUUUUACGACAAAGCUAAUAAGGAAACAUCUUAAUGACGUAUCAAUUAGGGUUACUAAGGAAUUCAAAUGGUUAAAAUUGAAAAUGUCCUGUAGAGUCCUAGUUUUUUUCCAUUUCAUCUUGUAGAGUCUUAGGAUGAUAUUUACGAGAAAUUCAACAAAUGCUGAUGAAAGAAUAACUGAUUUUAAUAAGAAAAAACAACACAAUGCAAAGUGUAAAAAGCAAAAACAAUGCAGUGCUAAUUUUAGUAAGCAGAAACAAUACAGUAGUACAAAGACCCAAAAAACAAAGAGGAAAUUGAGACAACAUAACUAAGAAAAGCCAUAAAAAAAGGAAAAGACAAUGUAAUAGCUCAUGUACCAAAUCUCAUAAAGAGGUGAGCACACCAUUGUGUUGAUUUUCCUUUCACAAAAACAAUUGCAGCUACUGUGUACAUAUAGGUAUAUAUCUCUAUAUCUCUUGAUUGUUAUAGAAAAUUGAAGAAAUACCAUGAGUGAAGAAAAGAGAACUGAGUGGAUAGAGCCCUACAGAUUAGAAUAGAAUUUAACAAUGCUAGCAUGACCAAAAAAGAAAAGAGGAAUUGAGAAGCCAUGAUCUUUUUUAAUGCAUGCAAAGCAAAUAUUGAUUAAUAAGGAUGAGGGUUGAGAGAGAGAACAAAACAAUAUCGAAAAUCAACUUUUGUUACCCUACGACAGAAAACAGGGAACAACGACAUUUAUUUAUAGAUGAGUAUUAGGAAAAGAUGUAAACAAUUCCAAGGCCUUCCUAUCAAUUCCCGUCAACGGUAAUCUUUUGAGAUGAGUAUGCAAUAAUAAAUUCCAAGGGCCUUCCCGUCAAUUCUCAUUAACGGAAAGUUCCUCAAAUUUCUUCUUAUUCAUAGCUAUGUCGAGUGUAAUGUAAUGUAAUAAGUUUCACAAAAAUAUCACACAAAUCAAGUUAAAUUAUGACAUUCAAGAAAAAGUUCCAACAAUGUUACAUUGCAAAACGGAUAUCUAUAAGGAGCUAUAUCAAAUGUAAAACAUUAGCAACCAACAUAAAAUGUGUCAUCAUUACCUAAUCUGAGAGAUAAAGUUACCUAGUAUAAAACAUUCAGUUGGUUUUAAUUAAUAUUGUGUAGUAGUAAAUUUAAUAUGCAAUUAUCCAUCACAUUGUUUCUUUUUUAGGAAUAACUCACAUUUUCGGUCCAAAUUAACAAUGUUUUAAAAUUUAUUAGAAUGCAUGAAAGAAUUAUCACAGACAAAGAUUGCGAGAAUAUUUAUUAAAAGGACAACAUGAUGCCUAAAUUUCACAUUCCUUUCAAUCCCAUUUGAUAGGAAUUUUGAUUUAAGUUUUCUUCUUACUACAAGAUUUAGAAUUGCCUUAACAUGAUAUGACAACAAAGUAAUAAAAUUAAUGUUUUAGGUAUAUCAUCUUCUUAUUGUUACCCCCUUAUUUGAUUUUAGUUGUAGCAAAUUGAUUUACAUAUUCACACAUAAAACUAAAAAAUAAAAAAAGAUUGAUUUUAGAAAUUUUAAUAAGUCCACUUCAACAUCAGAAACCGAGAACGAGUUUCACAAAAAAAGGAAAAAUAAAUCAACUAUCUUCUUUUUACCCCUUUGGUCACUGCAAUUUGCAAACCCAAUCAAAGAUCAAAACUUUGAAAAUCAUUCACAACUCUAUAUAUAAAUAUUACUCAAAACCUUUGAAUAACGAAAAGGGUAAAGGAAGAGAUUGAAUGCAAAUCCAAACAAUUAACCAACAUAUAUAUGCCCGAAAAUUGCAUAAGAAGCUUCGAAAGUUAGUGUGAUAAUUAAAGUUACUCACCUCGAUCGUCUAAAGAAUUGAUCCUUGCCAAAUACUUCCUCACCCCCUCUAAUUUUGAGUGAAUAUUACUGGGACAUGGAAGAAUGAGAAUGGAGAAAUGGAAAGACCUAGAAGAGAGUAGAAAGAAAAAAAGUAGUCAAGGACAAGUGAUUUAGUCGAGGACAUGUGAUUUGCUGAAAACAAGAAAUAGUGUACACAUGAAAGAUCUAGAAGAGAGUAGAAAGAAAAAAAGUAGUCAUGGACAGGUGAUUUAGUUGAGGAUAG